AUUGAACGCUGGCGGCAUGCUUUACACAUGCAAGUCGAACGGCAGCGCGGGCUUCGGCCUGGCGGCGAGUGGCGAACGGGUGAGUAAUACAUCGGAACGUGCCCAGUAGUGGGGGAUAGCUCGGCGAAAGCCGGAUUAAUACCGCAUACGACCUGAGGGUGAAAGCGGGGGAUCUUCGGACCUCGCGCUAUUGGAGCGGCCGAUGGCAGAUUAGCUAGUUGGUGGGGUAAAGGCCUACCAAGGCGACGAUCUGUAGCUGGUCUGAGAGGACGACCAGCCACACUGGGACUGAGACACGGCCCAGACUCCUACGGGAGGCAGCAGUGGGGAAUUUUGGACAAUGGGCGAAAGCCUGAUCCAGCAAUGCCGCGUGUGUGAUGAAGGCCUUCGGGUUGUAAAGCACUUUUGGCGGGAACGAAAAGGACUGUGCCAAUACCACGGUUCGAUGACGGUACCCGCUGAAUAAGCACCGGCUAACUACGUG
rnacentral:rRNA from 1 species